rnacentral:rRNA from 1 species
AAGCCAGACUCCUACGGGAGGCAGCAGUGGGGAAUAUUGCACAAUGGGGGAAACCCUGAUGCAGCAACGCCGCGUGAGUGAAGAAGUAUUUCGGUAUGUAAAGCUCUAUCAGCAGGGAAGAAAAUGACGGUACCUGACUAAGAAGCCCCGGCUAACUACGUGCCAGCAGCCGCGGUAAUACGUAGGGGGCAAGCGUUAUCCGGAUUUACUGGGUGUAAAGGGAGCGUAGACGGCAGUGCAAGUCCGGAGUGAAAGCCCGGGGCUCAACCCUGGGACUGCUCUGGAAACUGUAAAGCUGGAGUGCGGGAGGGGCAGGCGGAAUUCCUGGUGUAGCGGUGAAAUGCGUAGAUAUCAGGAGGGACACCGGCGGCGAAGGCGGCCUGCUGGACCGUAACUGACGUUGAGGCUCGAAAGCGUGGGGAGCAAACAGGAUUAGAUACCCUGGUA